rnacentral:rRNA from 1 species
CUACGGGCUGCACCAGUGAGGAAUAUUGCACAAUGGGGGGAACCCUGAUGCAGCAACGCCGCGUGGAGGAUGACGCAUUUUGGUGUGUAAACUCCUUUUAUAUGUCAAGAAAAUGACGGUAGCAUAUGAAUAAGCACCGGCUAACUCCGUGCCAGCAGCCGCGGUAAUACGGAGGGUGCAAGCGUUACUCGGAAUCACUGGGCGUAAAGGACGCGUAGGCGGGUGGGAAAGUCAGGUGUGAAAUCCUACAGCUUAACUGUAGAACUGCACUUGAAACUUCUAAUCUAGAGUAUGGGAGGGGGAGAUGGAAUUAGUGGUGUAGGGGUAAAAUCCGUAGAUAUCACUAGGAAUACCUAAAGCGAAGGCGAUCUCCUGGAACAUUACUGACGCUAAGGCGUGAAAGCGUGGGGAGCAAACAGGAUUAGAUACCCCCGUAGUC